rnacentral:rRNA from 1 species
ACGGGAGGCAGCAGUCGGGAAUAUUGCGCAAUGGAGGAAACUCUGACGCAGUGACGCCGCGUAUAGGACGAAGGUCUUCGGAUUGUAAACUAUUGUCGUUAGGGAAGAGAAAGGACAGUACCUAAGGAGGAAGCUCCGGCUAACUACGUGCCAGCAGCCGCGGUAAUACGUAGGGAGCAAGCGUUAUCCGGAUUUAUUGGGUGUAAAGGGUGCGUAGACGGGAAGUUAAGUUAGUUGUGAAAUCCCUCGGCUCAACUGAGGAACUGCAACUAAAACUGGCUUUCUUGAGUGUCGGAGAGGAAAGCGGAAUUCCUAGUGUAGCGGUGAAAUGCGUAGAUAUUAGGAGGAACACCAGUGGCGAAGGCGGCUUUCUGGACAAUAACUGACGUUGAGGCACGAAAGUGUGGGGAGCAAACAGGAUUAGAUACCCUGGUA